rnacentral:rRNA from 1 species
AUUGAACGCUGGCGGCAUGCUUUACACAUGCAAGUCGAACGGCAGCGCGGGCUUCGGCCUGGCGGCGAGUGGCGAACGGGUGAGUAAUACAUCGGAACGUGCCCAGUAGUGGGGGAUAGCUCGGCGAAAGCCGGAUUAAUACCGCAUACGACCUGAGGGUGAAAGCGGUGGAUCUUCGGACCUCGCGCUAUUGGAGCGGCCGAUGGCAGAUUAGCUAGUUGGUGGGGUAAAGGCCUACCAAGGCGACGAUCUGUAGCUGGUCUGAGAGGACGACCAGCCACACUGGGACUGAGACACGGCCCAGACUCCUACGGGAGGCAGCAGUGGGGAAUUUUGGACAAUGGGCGAAAGCCUGAUCCAGCAAUGCCGCGUGUGUGAUGAAGGCCUUCGGGUUGUAAAGCACUUUUGGCGGGAACGAAAAGGACUGUGCCAAUACCACGGUUCGAUGACGGUACCCGCAGAAUAAGCACCGGCUAACUACGUG